AUUUUGAACGAUGAGAAUUCAAGAAAGCAAUUCUUACUUGAAGCUGCUCACCAGUGUCAGGCAGCUGGAUUAUAUGACAAGCUAAGCAAAUCAACCUCACAACAAAGACAAGUGCACAAUGGAAUGGAUGAUGAAUUGGAGGGUGGAGCAAGCUUCAUGGUUUACUUUUUGUGUGUCUUGUUAUGUUUCUAUUUUUUACUUUUGAAGCAAAAGAUGUGCAAGACUAUAGAAUUUUAUUAUGUAUGCUUUCAAACUCAAGUUAGAACUAAGAACUUUUGAAGUGGACAGUGUCAUGGUUUGAAGUA